UUGACUUGAACUUGUUUACUUGCCAUAGCGCACAACUUUUAUAACUAAUUUAAGUUACUGUGUUGAAACCAAUGGACGACUAAAACCUAAAUCAGUAGCACAUUUUGGAUGUUGGCCAAACAUAAUACAUGCAUGCAUGCA